CACUUGGGCUCUUUGGGGUGCAAUACGUGAAUCCCUUAAGAGAGGAUCAUACCUUGCAAUUCGUGAAUAGGUGUGGUUCAAUCUAUCUUGUUCUUGCAAUUUGGUGCAAUUCGUGAAUCCAAGUUGUUUAUAUUAAUAUUUGAGGUUUAUUU